AAUCUCUCUCUCUCUCUCUCUCAUUCUUUCUUCUCUUCUUUCUCCCUCUUUCCAGAUCUUUCCACGUGAUAUGAUUAUACAAGUUAGCCAGAGUCCACAGGUUCUCGAAGCUUUUGAACACGAUGCCAGGUUCUUUGUUUGCUGAUUCAAUGCCAAGUAACCAGGUUCUCGAAGCUUUUGAACGCGAUGCUAGUUGCCAUAAACAUCCAAGCUACCCAAAAGUAUUUUCAAAUCAAUUCACUAGUCAUCGAUCUCAUAAACAGAUCUGAUCUCCAAAAAGAAAACAAUGCAAGUUUUGGAUGCCAAUAAUUAACCAGACCUUGCCAAAGGGGAAGAACUGCGCUUGCCUUUAAACUGAAGAGGUUCCAGUUAGAUGGUUCCUACCAGCCCAUCCACCAGAUCCCAAAAGGAUUUAUCGUUUUGUUGUAGUAUAUAUGACUCAUGUUGUAGUAUGUAUGAGUCAUAGUAUAAAUGUCUAUAUCAUGUAAUAAGUACUUGAGUGUAUAGAUAGGUACUUGAGUGUAUAAACAUAGGUACUUGAGUGUAUGAAGACUUGUGUGACAUGCUUUAUACCAAGAGGCAACAAGCAUGGCAGAUUUCAUCAUUGAAUGCAAGUAUGUGGAGCUGCAGCCCUCAAUCAACAAGAGAAGAUUGUUACCAAAUUGAGUUUCUCUUAGAGCUUUCACACUAGCUAUGUAUUCCUAUAAAUACACUCCUUUGUGAGAAGAAUAAUACACAUGAAUUCUCAUUCUCUCUGAAUCGAAACUCUCUCUCUCUCUCUGUCAAUUUUGAUUAUCCUUAAACACGUUAUCAGCACGAAGUUGCUCUAGAAUUAGAAUCGAAAAUUGACAAGAGUAGAGUUCAUCAUCAAUCGAAGUCAUUUUUCCAAACCUACAAAAAACCUCCAAAACCUAGCUCAUAUCAAAGCCAUUGAUCCCAGAAACCCAGAACCGGCCUCAGAAUCGCCGGAACCGGCCGGAAAAGGCCUGAACCGGCCGCCGGAAUUUUUGAACAGAACCAGACCGCUGCCAAGUGCUGCCGAGACCCUGCGCAGCAGCUGACGAGAAGCUGCGCAGCAGCUGCCGAGCGACCUGCGCAGCAGCUGCCGAGAAGCUGCGCAGCAGCUGCCGAGUCACCUGCCAAACACUUUUAAGUGAUUUUCCUGUGCAGAUCAGCCUGUUUACACGCCCCGAAACAUCUUGAUAGGGACCUCAGAUCAAAAUCCUUCCUUCAUCAAAGUUGUUCGUCUAUGUCUCUUCUAUCUGACCUCCAAAUUGUAGCCCUGUUGGAGUAGUUUUGAGACCUGUACACCAUUCGAAGUGGGAGCUGUUCAGCACGCUCGUUCCUGUGCAGAUCAGCCUGUUUGCACACCCUGAAACAUCUUGUUCAGCACCUUUAAUCAAAAUACUUUCUUCAUCAAAGUUCUUCAUAUAUGUCUUUUCUAUCUGACUUCAAAAUUUCAGCCCUGUUGAAGUCGUUUUAAGACAUGUACACCAUUCAAAGUGGGAGCUAUUCAGUAUGAUCGUUCCUGUGCAGAUCAACCUGCUUGCACGCCGAUAAACGUCCUUUUCGGGACAUCUAAUCAAAAUCAUUUCUUCAUCAAAGUUGUUAAUCUCUGUCUCUUAUAUCUUAUCUCCAAAUUUCAGCCCUGUUGGAGCAGUUUUGAGACCUGUAUAACAUUUGAAGUGCGAUCUGUUCAGAAGCAAAUUUGCUCCGAAUUUCAACAAGAUGUCGAAUGAACCUAGACUCGACUUUCCAAUGCUUGACUCAACAGGCUCGGAAUACCAUGGCUGGGUAACCAACGUUGAGAACCAUCUCACUACGAGAGGGAUAUUGCCCAUAAUACAGGCACCUAACCAGGGCCUUGUGUUCCAACGAACACCCACAAAGCAUGCUGCUCAAGUAAUUAUCUUGAUGUGAUACCAUAUGGAUCAAUUGAAGCAUUGGUUCAAGCAAUGCCAUGCAAGUACCCAACUAGCUGCAAGCUACAAGGAGUAUAGGCAAUUGAGAGAGCAAGAAAUCAAUCUUGCUGAAGAUGAAGAUAUCAAUCUUGCUGAAGAUGAAGAUGGUGAAGAUAUCACUCUCACCACUGAGGACUUCAAAGCUGUAAAGAGCACGAGGAUGCCGCAGACUUUGAUUAGAAUAGUCCUUUUCUAUUUUCCAAUAAAACGGCAAAUGUGCCUUAGUCAACAAAUGACAAUUGUAUUGACUCUUUCUCAUGUGGCGUACCCAAUGAAGUAUGAUGUCUAGGAAAGUAAUUGAGAUCGGGGUAUUUAAGCGAGCCUCGCUCCACCAACAUCUCUCUACUUCCCUGGUCAUAUUUCAUUGGAAUUACCAAACGGAUUGGCAAUUACAAUUUGUAUAAGUUUGAUUUUAUUUUGGAAUAGAUUUUGGAAACUUUGAUGUAA